CAGUCGCCGCGGUAAUACGUAGGGUGCGAGCGUUAAUCGGAAUUACUGGGCGUAAAGCGUGCGCAGGCGGUUAUAUAAGACAGAUGUGAAAUCCCCGGGCUCAACCUGGGACCUGCAUUUGUGACUGUAUAGCUAGAGUACGGUAGAGGGGGAUGGAAUUCCGCGUGUAGCAGUGAAAUGCGUAGAUAUGCGGAGGAACACCGAUGGCGAAGGCAAUCCCCUGGACCUGUACUGACGCUCAUGCACGAAAACGUGGGGAGCAAACAGGAUUAGAUACCCCAGUAGUCCCUGUCUCUUAUAC
rnacentral:rRNA from 1 species